AAGUCGUAACAAGGUUUCCGUAGGUGAACCUGCGGAAGGAUCAUUCGCAAAGUUGCCAAUAAAUUUAUAUCUAUUAUAAUUGUUGAGGGCUGUCGCUUCAUCUGAGAAUAUAUUGUCUUUGUUGGCUUUAGUAUCAAUCAAAGCAGUAAAAGGUGGAGGGCACCUUGGGUAAUUGGACUGAUGUUCCAAAACCCAAAAUUUAUGUGUACUGUAAUCAGUUGGAAUGAUAGUGUUUGCUAUUUUUUUUUAAAAACAAACCUUUCCCUGAUCUUAAUUUUCUUUUAUUAAUCUGUAAAUAAGAGAGAUUAAUAUAAACUAAAAAGAUAAAUUUUAUUAUCUUUUUUUAAUAAUUGAAAUCUAAAUAACAACUUUCAACAAUGGAUCUCUUGGCUCUC
rnacentral:misc_RNA from 1 species